rnacentral:misc_RNA from 1 species
AAAAAAUAAAUUAAAAAAAAAAACUAAAAACUCAAAAUCUACCUUUCACGCAUCAAAAGGCAAAACCACUAUAUGUUUCUCCCUUUCAUAAACCCCUUUCCAAACCCUAGACGUUGCAGCAAUCAGGAUUUAUUUUUUAAGCCCAAUUGCUUCUUUAUACCUUUAAUUUAAAAAAAAUUUGAGGAAAAUUUGAAGAAAUCCAUUAUUUGAAGCCUUCUGUUUGGAAAUUAGGGUUUCUCCCUUUUUUUUUAAUUGAUGAAUGGCUACAGGGCCAAUUGCUGCAGUCGGUGGCGAUUCUCGAGGGAAACAGAGAUGGGUGGAGCAUAGCAAGAGCAAAAAGAAAAUUUAUGCCCAAAAAACCCAAAACAAAUCUCUAAAUUCCAGCUAUAUCCCUCAGCCGCAACACUCCUAUCAAGCCCUUUCUCCU